rnacentral:misc_RNA from 1 species
GUGAAUCAUCAAAUCUUUGAACGCAAAUUGCACUCUCUUCGGAGAGUAUGUCUGUUUGAGGGUCAGACUCAAAAAAAUCGACACAGUUGCUGUUUUCGCGGUGACAUUAGUCGGAAAUCGGGUCAUCUUAAACUUUCGGGAUUUAAGCGGACUAAAAUCUUCUUUACGAUCCCACGAACGUUUCUAAGAUAUUUAUUCCUUACACGUCUAAGGUAUAGAUCUUUAUUAGAAGUCGCCGUUGCAUCGCUUCAUGCACAUAAAUAUAUCGA